UAUAUAUUUUUUUUUUCUCCUUUUUUCAUCGUCUUUGUUUCUUUCUUUUCUUAUUAACUUUGUCAUGAGAGUUCUGAAGAUAAUGGUUUAUUUAAUCUGUGUGUGUGUGUGUGUGUGUGUGUGUGUGUGUGUGUGUGUGUGUGUGUGUGUGUGUGUGUGUGUGUGUGUGUGUGUGUGUGUGUGUGUGUGUGUGUGUGUGUGUGUGUGUGUGUGUGUGUGUGUGUGUGUGUGUGUGUGUGUGUGUGUGUGUGUGUGUGUGUGUGCUAUGUGACGAGUUUGUGGUCAAGAUACACAGUGUACGUAUAUUAGUGUGUGUGUGUGUGUGUGUGUGUGUGUGUGUGUGUGUGUGUGUGUGUGUGUGUGUGUGUGUGUGUGUGUGUGUGUGUGUGUGUGUGUGUGUGUCUGUC